ACGUCUGUCAAAUGAGUAAUAUGGACCGAUUCUCGCCGAACAAGUAUUUUUAUAUUUUUUAGCAUUUUUUUUCUAAAAUACUCUCCCAGGGGCCAGGAUAUUUAUAGUUACUUAAUCCCCCCCAUUGAACACAUAUAAGCAAUUUAUUGAGGAUUUAAAAACAGGCGAAAUUGAAGAAAAAUUUCACACAAGGCACCAGCUCAUUUUACCGGGCUUUACUGUAAAUCCCCCAUUAAGAGUUCAAAUUUAGACUUUUAUCCUAUGGGGGGCCGCUUUGGUGUUUAUAUAGGAUAAACACAGUUAAAAGGAUGCGGCAAAAUAUUUUAUUAUUUCAUUUUAAAGAACUUUUAAAAUUAUAUAUAAAUCUCCUUUACCGGUUUUGCGUAACUUUAUUAUUUCUUGAGAUAUUUGAAAAGAAAAAAUCACAAAUCAGCAAGCUUUCCGCCCAUCUUGGAUUUUGGCGGAUAUGCAUGUGACAUCAUAAGCAGGGAGCCCAACAACAUAUAG